CCUACGGGAGGCAGCAGUAGGGAAUAUUGCUCAAUGGGGGAAACCCUGAAGCAGCAACGCCGCGUGGAGGAUGAAGGUUUUCGGAUUGUAAACUCCUUUUGUUAGAGAAGAUAAUGACGGUAUCUAACGAAUAAGCACCGGCUAACUCCGUGCCAGCAGCCGCGGUAAUACGGAGGGUGCAAGCGUUACUCGGAAUCACUGGGCGUAAAGAGCGCGUAGGCGGGAUAGCAAGUCAGAUGUGAAAUCCUAGGGCUUAACCAUAGAACUGCAUUUGAAAAGGUUAUUCUAGAGUAUGGGAGAGGUAGGUGGAAUUCUUGGUGUAGGGGUAAAAUCCGUAGAGAUCAAGAGGAAUACUCAUUGCGAAGGCGACCUGCUAGAACAUAACUGACGCUGAUGCGCGAAAGCGUGGGGAGCAAACAGGAUUAGAUACCCGUGUAGUC
rnacentral:rRNA from 1 species